CUCGUGCGGAGCCAGCUGGCCGAGGGAGCAGCCCCCACCAGUCCCCACCUUCCUGAGCGAAGCCUGCAGGACCCUGCUCCAGGACUGCCCAGGGAGGCUGAGCAAGAGGGCUGCCUGAGAGCAGCAGCUGCCCAGCAGCUGAUAGGACACAUGAUGGAGAAUUGAAGCCAGAGAAGAGCAGGAGGCUUGGACCCCCGCCCUGCUAGGCUGUUGGAGAGAGAUCCUGUCUCAGAUCGGUUCUCGUCUAGAAACAGAGGUACCACUGGGACUUGAGAGAGCAGCAGAGGCAGU